rnacentral:rRNA from 1 species
UUAAUUGAAGAGUUUGAUCAUGGCUCAGAUUGAACGCUGGCGGCAGGCCUAACACAUGCAAGUCGAGCGGCAGCACAGAGGAACUUGUUCCUUGGGUGGCGAGCGGCGGACGGGUGAGUAAUGCCUGGGAAAUUGCCCGGUAGAGGGGGAUAACCAUUGGAAACGAUGGCUAAUACCGCAUAACCUCGCAAGAGCAAAGCAGGGGACCUUCGGGCCUUGCGCUACCGGAUAUGCCCAGGUGGGAUUAGCUAGUUGGUGAGGUAAGGGCUCACCAAGGCGACGAUCCCUAGCUGGUCUGAGAGGAUGAUCAGCCACACUGGAACUGAGACACGGUCCAGACUCCUACGGGAG